rnacentral:rRNA from 1 species
GCCGGGGCUUCUUCUCCGGCUACCGUCAUUAUCUUCACCGGUGAAAGAGCUUUACAACCCUAAGGCCUUCAUCGCUCACGCGGCAUGGCUGGAUCAGGGUUUCCCCCAUUGUCCAAGAUUCCCC